rnacentral:rRNA from 1 species
AGUGAACGCUGGCGGCGUGCCUAACACAUGCAAGUCGAACGAUGAUGGAUGAGCUUGCUCAUCCUGAUUAGUGGCGCACGGGUGAGUAUACCAUAGAUAAUGUACCCCUUAGUUCGGGAUAGCCACUGGAAACGGUGAUUAAUACCGGAUACUCCUUCUUGCCAUAAGGUAAGUCGGGAAAGUUUUUUCGCUAAGGGAUCAGUCUAUGUCCUAUCAGGUAGUUGGUGAGGUAACGGCUCACCAAGCCUAUGACGGGUAUCUGGUUUGAGAGGAUGAUCAGACACACUGGAACUGAGACACGGUCCAGACUCCUACGGGAGGCAGCAGUGAGGAAUAUUGCACAAUGGAGGAAACUCUGAUGCAGCAACGCCGCGUGGAGGAUGACGCAUUUCGGUGUGUAAACUCCUUUUAAGAGGGAAGAUUAUGACGGUACCUCUUGAAUAAGCACCGGCUAACUCCGUGCCAGCAGCCGCAGUAA